AACCUGGUUGAUCCUGCCAGUAGUCAUAUGCUUGUCUCAAAGACUAAGCCAUGCAUGUCUAAGUAUAAGUGUUAUACAGCGAAACUGCGAAUGGCUCAUUAAAACAGUUAUAGUUUAUUUGGUAAUCGAAAUUACAUGGAUAACCGUGGUAUCUUCUAGAGCUAAUACAUGCAGGUUAGCCCGACUUUGCGGAAGGGCUGUAUUUAUUAGAUAACAGACCAAUAUUCCUCGUGUCUAUUGUGGUGACUCAUAGUAACUGAUCGGAUCGCAUGGCUUUGCCGCGACAAACCAUUCAAGUUUCUGACCCAUCAGCUUUCGAUGGUAGUGUAUUGGACUACCAUGGCUUUCACGGGUAACGGAGGAUUAGGGUUCGAUUCCGGAGAGGGAGCCUGAGAAACGGCUACCACAUCUAAGGAAGGCAGCAGGCGCGUAAAUACCCAAUCCUGACUCAGGGAGGUAGUGAC
rnacentral:rRNA from 1 species